UCCUACGGGGGGCAGCAGUGGGGAAUUUUGGACAAUGGGGGCAACCCUGAUCCAGCCAUGCCGCGUGCGGGAAGAAGGCCUUCGGGUUGUAAACCGCUUUUGGUCGGGAAGAAAAGGCCAUUCCUAAUAGGGGUGGUUCUUGACGGUACCGGCAGAAUAAGCACCGGCUAACUACGUGCCAGCAGCCGCGGUAAUACGUAGGGUGCGAGCGUUAAUCGGAAUUACUGGGCGUAAAGCGUGCGCAGGCGGUUGGCCGGGUCCGAUGUGGAAGCCCCGGGCUCAACCUGGGAAUGGCAUUGGAAACUGGCUGGCUGGAGUGUGGCAGAGGGGGGUGGAAUUCCACGUGUAGCAGUGAAAUGCGUAGAGAUGUGGAGGAACACCGAUGGCGAAGGCAGCCCCCUGGGCCAACACUGACGCUCAGGCACGAAAGCGUGGGGAGCAAACAGGAUUAGAUACCCUGGUAGUCC
rnacentral:rRNA from 1 species